GAUGAACGCUGGCGGCGUGCCUAACACAUGCAAGUCGAGCGAACAGACGAUGCGCUUGCUCCUCUGACGAUAGCGGAAGACGGGAGAGUAACACGUGUAUCACCUCCCUGUAAGACUGGGAACAUUACGGAAAACCGGAGCUAAUAGCGGAUAAGCUCUUGAAGCGCAUGGUUCAAUAGUGAAAGACGGCUUUGCGGUCACUUAUAGAUGCAUCCGCGCCGUAUUAGCUGGUUGGUAAGGUCAAGGCCUACCAAGGGAACGAUGCGUAUCCGACGUGAGAGAGUGAUCGCCCACCCUGGAACGUGGCCACGGACCAGAGGCCUACGGGAGGGACCAGUAGGGAAUCGUCCGCAAUGGGGGAAAACCUUGCGGAGCAACGCCGCGUGAGUGAUGAAGGUCUUCGGAUCGUAAAGCUCUGUUAUGAGGGGAGAACAAAUGUGGAAGUAACUAUGCACGUCUUGACGGUAACUAAUCAGAAAGCCACGGCUAACUACGUG
rnacentral:rRNA from 1 species